GACGAACGCUGGCGGCGUGCUUAACACAUGCAAGUCGAACGGAAAGGCCCUGCUUUUGUGGGGUGCUCGAGUGGCGAACGGGUGAGUAACACGUGAGUAACCUGCCCUUGACUUUGGGAUAACUCCAGGAAACUGGGGCUAAUACCGGAUAGGAGCUCUUGCUGCAUGGUGGGGGUUGGAAAGUUUCGGCGGUUGGGGAUGGACUCGCGGCUUAUCGGCUUGUUGGUGGGGUAGUGGCUUACCAAGGCUUUGACGGGUAGCCGGCCUGAGAGGGUGACCGGCCACCAGGGUACUGAGAGACGGAGCAGACUCGUACGGGAGGCAGCGGUGGGGAAUAUGACAGAAUGGCGGGAAGCCUGAGGCGACAACGCCGCGUGCGGAAUGACGGGCUUCGAGGGAAAAACAGCUUUCGCAUGUGACGAAGCGGGAGUGACGGUAAUGGGUAAAGAAGCACCGGCUAACUACGUG
rnacentral:rRNA from 1 species